AAAGAGAGACACAGAGAGAGAGAGGAAGACACAGAAAGAGAGAGAGAGAGAGAGAGAGAGAGAGAGAGACAGAGGGCGAGAGAAAGAGAGAGACUGAGGGAGAGACAGACAGGUCUCCUGGAUUCUCAGUGGACGGUUCAUGGUGACCCCGCUCUCUCUCUCUCUGUGGCUGCAGGGUGGUGCGUCUCUGCGGGGGUCAUGUGCACCACCAUCAUGUUCCUCUCCACUUUGGCUCUAGUCCUCCGCAAACAUUUCACCAGCCAAGUCAAGACGUUUCCCAAAGACUCGGGGAAAAAGGAGGAAGCCAGCAAGGACGGCACCAGAGACGCUGCAGCAUGAGACUUAGCGUGUGAACCACCUCAGAUGUGGGUUGCAGAUGUGGAGGCUGUCCUCAGGUCCAUGGCGAGACAGCUGAAUGCAUCUCUGGAGAAAUAUCCUCGCCGUGACAGAAGUCGUCCCCCUUCUUUGGACCACUGCAGGUCUCUCCCUCGACGACCUGCUGAUCCAGAGGGGCCGCUUUAGACGUGUUGGAAGUGUUUGAAGGCAGAAUUCAAGGAAAAUCUCACAUUUUGGCAUUUAAACUGAAAUGUG